rnacentral:rRNA from 1 species
AUUGAACGCUGGCGGCAUGCUUUACACAUGCAAGUCGAACGGCAGCGCGGACUUCGGUCUGGUGGCGAGUGGCGAACGGGUGAGUAAUACAUCGGAACGUACCCAGUAAUGGGGGAUAACUAUCCGAAAGGAUAGCUAAUACCGCAUACGCCCUACGGGGGAAAGAGGGGGAUCGCAAGACCUCUUGUUAUUGGAGCGGCCGAUGGCUGAUUAGCUAGUUGGUGGGGUAAAGGCCUACCAAGGCAACGAUCAGUAGCGGGUCUUAGAGGACGAGCCGCCACACUGGAACUGAGACACGGUCCAGACUCCUACGGGAGGCAGCAGUGGGGAAUCUUGGACAAUGGGCGCAAGCCUGAUCCAGCAAUGCCGCGUGCGUGAAGAAGGCCUUCGGGUUGUAAAGCGCUUUUGUCAGGGAGCAAAUCCUUGUGGCUAAUACCCACCGGGGAUGAGAGUACCUGAAGAAUAAGGACCGGCUAACUACGUGCCAGCCGCCGCUGUAAUAC